UUACGGCCACAUUACGUUGAAAACCGGUUCCCAUAUGAUCGCCGAAGUUAAACAACGUCGAGUCUGGCCAGUACCUAAAUGGGUGAAUACUUGGGAAUACUAGGUGCUGUG